rnacentral:lncRNA from 1 species
CUCCAGGAGAAGACCACCGCGUUGAUCUCGGCCGUCGGAUCCAGAUUGGACCGCAGGAUCAUGUUCUAGCCUGCCUGGCUCAUGGCUGGUGCUGUUGAUUGUGAUUUGUGAAUAGUGAUUACAGUAAGUUAGGGCAGGUAGAAGAACGAAUGUCUCCGCAGUGUGAGUACUCAGAUUAGUUUAAGCCUUUUGAUUAGGUAGAAAUUUUUGUGAUGUCAUGGCACAUAUACUAGUAUAUUGUAGCACCAGUGGUAUGGCAAUGGCAGUGGUAGUUCAGUUGUCUAAUUCUGGCGUGUAUUAGGUCCAAUGAACGGGUGAUUUUAUAUCAGGCUUAUCUGGUUUUGGAGGCACUUUGUUUACAAUACAUAGCUGGUGGAGGUCCCCUGGCCAUCAACGAUUGAAUGGUAUGUAUAUGUGCAGACGUACUGCAGCUCCAACCAUGAACGUCAACGUGCAUGUGAACAGACCCAAGUGGGUUUCAAAUCGAUCUGGUGC